CCGUAGCUUAACACGGUCGUUCGCGCGCUUCAACGCGUCUCUCACGGAAGUAUAAUCGAUAUCAAAACGUCGUGACUCGAACACGAUCCUGUGCGCGAUCAACUUUGAGUGGUCGACUGGUGUUGUCUACAUUUUUUACAUCUCGUGGUCGACAGACAGACAGUAAAUUAGCCUAGAUCGCAAUUUUGAGUUUGCACCUCAUCAACCGAAUCAAGUAAAACACGCACGUGUUCGCUGUUCCACGUGCUCCAACAAGUGCAGCACAAAGUUCGCACGCACGAAACCAUGGCGAAAAUGUACGAGUUGACAAGGUGCUGGUGGGUGCUGGCGGCGGUGUUUGUCAUUUUCAUGGCGACCGUCAUUCCCGGAGCCGAAGGCGCCAAGGAAAAGCAUCUCAAGUACAAGGAGAAAGAUUUGAUGCGCAAAUCGAUCGUGUACGACAAGAACACACCGGAUGUGUUCUACUGUCCCACGAACAAGCCCUCCGGAAUGAAUAAGAUGAUCGUGCGAUCCCGACCUUUGCAUAAACUUUGCGAGUACGAAGGAAAACCGCUGCCCGAGGACUACAAAUCUGAUUGCUACAAAGAUUUGGACGAAAGCGAUUACGCCUGCAAGGAAAAAUAUCGGAUCAUGAAACGAUACGCCAAAGAUAACGUUGAGAUCUAAUACACGGAAAAACAAGAAAAAGCGCUAAUGAAAUACUGAAACUCACACUCAAAUUCUAUCGCUGCAUACAGAAUAAAAACACAAAACACUACUACACGCCAAGCGCCCAGUGCACUCAGUGUUUUAAAAAAAGGCCGUCCUUCAGCGGUCAAAAUCCAACGAAAUGGCUAAACGAAAACAUUCCAUUCUUGCACUUUCCUUAUCCUACUGGACACAACUAUCGAAAUUCCUUCUAUGACGUUUCUAUGAGCUGUCAAACUACUUUUGACAGUUUUGACGUUUUAUUAAGCUUCUUUAACAUUUCUUCAAAAGAUGUUUCCUAUACAGUAGCUUAACUUCUCCUUCUAUGUAAUUCUACAAUUUCAAACUUCGAUUAAUGUUUUUCGUAUAACGAAUUUUUCUUCAAAAGUUUAUAACAAACAAUCAAAUCAAAGCUUAUCCUGCCGAUUUAAUACCAAACUAGCAAAUAUGUUUAUCUCUGAUAACUAAGUACGUAACUAAGAAUUAAUUCACGUUUCUAGAAAUAAUAGAACAAAAAUAGAAAUGUUUAAAAAAGGUUUCAUUAAGUGGUUACCACAAGUAAACGAGUAAAAUCUUCUAAAAUUGAAUAGUUUCCAACUACAAAUGUAUUUAAAAAAUAUAUAAGCAAAGCAAGGGAACUACUACAUAAACACUUACACAAAUACUUGCAUGACAUUUUUUAACUAACCAGGAUGUAAGAUGAAAUAAAGUAUUCCUUAGAUACUAACAAUGAAGCUAACACAUUUUCAAACUAGCUUUUACCAACAUUUUUCUUUAAAACUAUUAAGUCGCCAAAUGCCAGUGCUGCCAGGUUGGCAAACUGAACAAAAAUAUGAUACCUAAAGCAUUUGGCGACCGUGUAUGGGCUUACUUUGAAUUUACCUUUCACUCAUACCAUUAACCAAAAAAUAAACUAAAGUUAACGGACGCCGGACAUUUCCCAAAAGACGCUGUACAGAAACAUAAACACAAGCAAGCAAGCAAACAAACAAAACUUUCUCGCCUCCAUGCCAUUUCUCUUUUAUUAUCGCAAAACACGUUCGCCCAUAUUUAAAACCCAAAUAAACCAUUGCAAACAGGUGGAUUUGCAGCCAGUAGCAGAUGCGUAUGUAUCCCCCGGGCAGUGACGCCCCCUUCAAUGGUUCCCGGCUGAGCCGAUUUAUGGAUAUGGACGAGGAUAUGAAGCGAGUCAAGGCGAAACGUCAAGUUUAGGAAAGCAAUAGUGCUGAAAAAAAUCAGCGAAGUUGUUUGUAAAUAUGUAGUUUCACAAAUGCCAUAUCGAAGUCAAAAUUCAAAUUAUACAAUGUUUUAAAAGUGUGCUGGUUUAAUAAUCAAUUUUUGAUCAGUUUUUUUUUGUUAAAAGCGAACUAAGAAAAGACAACAACAACAAAAUAUCCGCACAUAUUUAGAUAGUUAUGAACCUACUCUUCAAACUUAUGUGUAUUGCAAAAGAGAACUCAGUAUUGUGAUAAAAAAGUAAGACAACGUCAAUCAGAAGAGAUCUGUUGGAUCAACCAACUUGAGCGUCGCGUUCUGUUACUCGUUACUUUUUGGAAUGGUAUGAAUAACUCUCAGUGUAUAAUAUUCACUAACUGUUAAGUUUAUUUUUUUAAAUCUCUUGAUUUCUGUGUUAGUUUCAAAAACUCCUUCAAAGUGUACAAUUGCGACCUAACUUAUUUAGUAAUAAAAUUCAAC